GUCCUUGCAGCGCAAUGGAUGGUGCUUUAGACUUUUAAUCCAAAGGUCGUGGGUUUGAAUUCCACCAGGGAUG